rnacentral:lncRNA from 1 species
UUCAGUUGAUAAAAAAAUGCAUUUCAGUAAAAGACAUUUUUAUUUUAAAAUAUAUUUAUUAUAUUAAUAGAUUAUUAUAUUAUUUUAAUAUAUUUAUAUUCUAUACCAUUAUUAUUUUAUUUAUUAAAUAAUCAUUCAAUACCACAAAUAUAUAUUGUCACCAAUCAAACAAUAUUCCGCACUGUUUUUUACUUAAAACCGUAGUUGUCCCGUAGCGCACUCUAAUUCCGCAAGAACCGCAAUUGCACCGUCCUGCACUUUAAUUUCAUACCACUUUUAUUAUCAAAUCCGUUGUCACCAUUUGGAGCAUGAAUUAAUUCAUUUACUUUG